CGGUGUGUGACUUAUCUGAUAUACAAGCAUGCAGCUUCGCCAAUGGAUGGAAAUAACGCAUUUGUUAUCUCAGCCUCAUGUGCGAACAGGAAGGAGUUCAAGGUGUAGUCCAACAUACCAGUGUUAAAAAUUAAAUCACUUUCUUUGGUCACAUUUGAGGAAGCUAUGCAAAACAAAUACUUUUCAAUGGAUCUUCCAUGGAGAGUUGGCAACAUGUAUGCACAUUUUGAAGCAUAACGCUAUGAAAUAUAAGUUUUCAUAUCAAAACUCAAGGCACUUGAUGACAUUAGAAUAUACCUUCCAUAUCUAGUGAAUAGAGACUUGGCUCACGACACCAUCUCAAAGGAUCCUCGGAAAAAGCGUUAAAUAUUGGCCAUAAUACUCGAGGAGGUUCAUCCAGCGAUCCCCACAGCUUGGUCUUUAGCUCUACUGCCUCUGGCCAACUCUUUAGUCAUGGCAGGGAAGUCAAGAAAUCCUGCAGUAUGUGGCUGAAAUUUGGAUGGCACUCCCGUACAGAAUAGUCACAGACCAACCGGUUGAUACAAGAACUAUAGCGGUUUGAUGAUGUGGGGGAGACAAGCAAAAACAGCCGACCAACGACUGUUGGAUGCAGUAGAUAAGGGGAACUUGAAAGAGGUUAAACACGCAAUCACCGCUGGUGGAGAUGUCAACCAGAAAGACAAACGUGGUAAGCUACUUGUGCAAAAAGCUACUGAAAACCUCAUUCGACCACUAAAAGUCCAAGACCAGGCUACAACUCAAGAUGCAAAGAAAGCAAUUGUAAUAGAAUUAGUAGAGCAUCAUGCCGAUGUUAAUGAACAGGGUGUAUAUCGUACAACUGCGUUAGGAUAUUUGCUAUUACGGUAUGAUUUAUAUUCAUUAUACAAUGAUAGGCAAAAACUGAUUCUGCUUGAUGUUGUCAGAGUGUUGUUGAAUAAUGGUGCUGAUGUCAACAUCAAGGAUAUUGGUGGUAAAUCUCCUUGGCACAGAGCAGCUAAGAUACCUUCCAUUGAACUUCUGAAGUUAUUUUUUGAGCACCAGUCUGAUGUGAAUGUCAGGGGUACAGGUGAUCAAACUGCACUUCAUAUUGCUGAUGACACAGACAUUGAUAGAUUAUUGAUCCAAA